AGAAAGCCUAGGCGAUUCUCACGCCGCUGGUGGCACAGACAGUGCCUCAAAUACUUCUGCUGCUGCUGUGUUACAGCACGUGGAGAUUCUGGCCAAUAAGCUUACCAUCUGCGUCCUCCGUGCAGGAAAGUAUAACAUCUGACGCCGCCCUGCCAGAGAG